UGAGGAAUAUUGCGCAAUGGGGGCAACCCUGACGCAGCGACGCCGCGUGAGUGAGGAAGGCCUUCGGGUCGUAAAGCUCUGUCAAAGGGAAAGAAGUGUGCAAUGGCUAAUACCUGUUGCAUUUGACGGUACCCUUAAAGGAAGCACCGGCUAACUCCGUGCCAGCAGCCGCGGUAAUACGGAGGGUGCCAGCGUUGUUCGGAAUCACUGGGCGUAAAGGGCGCGCAGGCGGUGUGAUAAGUCAGAUGUGAAAGCCCGUGGCUUAACUGUG
rnacentral:rRNA from 1 species